rnacentral:rRNA from 1 species
GAUGAACGCUGGCGGCGUGCCUAAUACAUGCAAGUCGAGCGAACGGACGAGAAGCUUGCUUUUCUGAUGUUAGCGGCGGACGGGUGAGUAACACGUGGAUAACCUACCUAUAAGACUGGGAUAACUUCGGGAAACCGGAGCUAAUACCGGAUAAUAUUUUGAACCGCAUGGUUCAAAAGUGAAAGACGGUCUUCCUGUCACUUAUAGAUGGAUCCGCGCUGCAUUAGCUAGUUGGUAAGGUAACGGCUUACCAAGGCAACGAUGCAUAGCCGACCUGAGAGGGUGAUCGGCCACACUGGAACUGAGACACGGUCCAGACUCCUACGGGAGGCAGCAGUAGGGAAUCUUCCGCAAUGGGCGAAAGCCUGACGGAGCAACGCCGCGUGAGUGAUGAAGGUCUUCGGAUCGUAAAACUCUGUUAUUAGGGAAGAACAUAUGUGUAAGUAACUGUGCACAUCUUGACGGUACCUAAUCAGAAAGCCACGGCUAACUACGUG